UACGGGAGUGGCAAGCGUUAUCCGGAAUUAUUGGGCGUAAAGCGUCCGCAGGCGGUCUUGUAAGUCUGUUGUUAAAGCGUGGAGCUUAACUCUAUUUCAGCAAUGGAAACUGUAAGACUAGAGUGUGGUAGGGGCAGAGGGAAUUCCCGGUGUAGCGGUGAAACGCGUAGAUAUCGGGAAGAACACCAGUGGCGAAGGCGCUCUGCUGGGCCAUAACUGACGCUCAUGGACGAAAGCCAGGGGAGCGAAAGGGAUUAGAUACCCCUGUAGUCCUGGCCGUAAACGAUGAACACUAGGUGUCGGGGGAAUCGACCCCCUCGGUGUCGUAGCCAACGCGUUAAGUGUUCCGCCUGGGGAGUACGCACGCAAGUGUGAAACUCAAAGGAAUUGACGGGGGCCCGCACAAGCGGUGGAGUAUGUGGUUUAAUUCGAUGCAACGCGAAGAACCUUACCAGGGUUUGACAUCCUGCGAAUCUUUUGAAAACAGAAGAGUGCCUUCGGGAACGCAGUGACAGGUGGUGCAUGGCUGUCGUCAGCUCGUGUCGUGAGAUGUUGGGUUAAGUCCCGCAACGAGCGCAACCCACGUCGUUAGUUGCCAGCAUUUAGUUGGGCACUCUAGCGAGACCGCCGGUGAUAAACCGGAGGAAGGUGUGGAUGACGUCAAGUCAUCAUGCCCCUUACAUCCUGGGCUACACACGUACUACAAUGCUACGGACAAAGGGCAGCAAACUCGCGAGAGCUAGCAAAUCCCAUAAACCGUGGCUCAGUUCAGAUCGUAGGCUACAACUCGCCUACGUGAAGGAGGAAUCGCUAGUAAUCGCAGGUCAGCAUACUGCGGUGAAUACGUUCCCGGGCCU
rnacentral:rRNA from 1 species